AGAGAUGGCAGGUGGUGGGGCAGGGCUGGUGGAAGAAAAAGAAAUGGAAUUCACUUGGCAUCCAGGAUUGUCACUUAUCAUGCCCCUGUAUUGAAAAGCCACAAAAUGAGACUGAAAAGUUGGGCAUCAGAAAGAGGAUUAUGUCUAUUUUCACCACCCUUAUACUUUGCCGCCACAGGUUAGUUUAAUUAACCUGUGAGACAAAGUGUUGAACCCUCUGAAAAGAUAGGGGCUUUCAGAGGUGCCUUAGAGGCAAGAAACACAACAAUAUUUAUAUUUCUUUUUGGCUGAGGAAGGUCACUGUGGUGACAGUUUCAGGAGGACACCUGCAUUCUUCUCUUUUGUCAACAGGACUCGGAAUAUAAACAAAACAUGCAGUCACUUCCCACCAGGAUGUAUCCUUCUGGAUGUCAGCACACGUGCAAGAUGACAAUUUCAGGUUGACUGGUGAUGUCUGGCUUACAAUUGAGUAUGAAGUCUGCACUGUGGCUCAGCUGAGGGCAAGACACAUCCAGGUGGGUGAGCAGGUCUGCUAUGGGAACUCACUCUUGCAUUCUAAUUUCCCUAAGUAUUUGGGGAUGUUUCUCUAUGGUAUACCAAGAACAUUCUGACAUUUUAACCUCAUUUCAUAUAGGUCUCCUCUGAGUCCAUGAUUCAGCCAACCAAUUGAGAAAAUUAUAGUGCUAUUCCUAGCCCCUCAAGUUAAGACACUGAAUCAAUAAAUCCCCAUCAAGACAUACA
rnacentral:lncRNA from 13 species